AUUGAACGCUGGCGGCAUGCCUUACACAUGCAAGUCGAACGGUAACGGGCCUUCGGGUGCCGACGAGUGGCGAACGGGUGAGGAAUACAUCGGAACGUGCCCGAUCGUGGGGGAUAACGAGGAGAAAGCUUUGCUAAUACCGCAUACGAUCUACGGAUGAAAGCAGGGGACCGAAAGGCCUUGUGCGGAAGGAGCGGCAGAUGGCAGAUUAGGUAGUUGGUGGAUAAAAGCUUACCAAGCCGACGAUCUGUAGCUGGUCUGAGAGGAUGAUCAGCCACACUGGGACUGAGACACGGCCCAGACUCCUACGGGAGGCAGCAGUGGGGAAUUUUGGACAAUGGGCGCAAGCCUGAUCCAGCCAUGCCGCGUGCAGGAUGAAGGCCUUCGGGUUGUAAACUGCUUUUGUACGGAACGAAAAGCCUUCUUCUAAUACAGGAGGGUCAUGACGGUACCGUAAGAAUAAGCACCGGCUAACUACGUGCCAGCCGCCGCGGUAA
rnacentral:rRNA from 1 species